rnacentral:rRNA from 1 species
AAUUUCUGGUACGAUGCGCCUGGUCCACGGUCGCAAGAUCGCGAGUAUCGGAGCGUAUCUGCCAUCCUUCUAGUUAACUGGCUGUACUUUACUGUGCGGUCAGCGAUCUAGAUCUUUUACUUUGAAAAAAUUAGAGUGUUUAAAGCAGGCUUGCGCUAUGAAUACAUUAGCAUGGAAUAAUAAUCUAGGACUUUCGGUUCUAUUUUGUUGGUGUUCUGGAGCUGAAGUAAUGAUUGAUAGGGAUAGUUGGGGGUGCUAGUAUUCAAUGGCCAGAGGUGAAAUUCUCGGAUUCCUUGAAGACUAACUUAUGCGAAAGCAUU